AAAAGUAACGGAGCUCAUGGCCUGUGCUGUGAAGGUUUGCUUUUAUAAACCCACGGCUAAUACAAAGACAGCUUUAAAAAGAUCUGCUCGUCAGUGAAUUCAGGAUAAUAACAUCUGUGAUAGAAGAAAAACAAAGAAAAAAGUAAAAGCAGCCAUGAAGGUCCAGAAGAGUUGGAGCUGCUUUGUGUUCAUUCUACUCCACAUGACACACGUCGCCUGGACACAGACCUUUCAGGUUGUUGGACCUUCGUCAGCUGUUCUUGCUUUUGUUGGUGAAGAUGUCGUCCUACCCGUCUCACUCUCACCAGUUAUUGAUGCUCAGAGGUUUGAAGUGAGG